AUGGCCAAGAUCAUGUUCGUCCUUCUGCUCCUCUGUCCCCUCCUCGCCCAAUCCCAUGCCACCACCACUUUCAAAGAGAUUUCAUCACAGCUGCAAAACCAGAGAUUCGUCGAGUUGGACGAGGCCCUGCAGAGGGCCCUGCCGCUUCGUCAGCCACCUCCCCCGAGGUCGGUUGUCCUGGACGCUGCCGAAGCAGAUGCAGUGAAGGAGAGCCUCCUGAUCUUGGUGCGGGCUCUCACGGAGGGGCUCAACGGUCGCCCCGGCCUCCUGAGCUUCCACAACCAAGGCGAGGAGGAACCCGCGGCGGCGGCGUCACCGAAGGAAACCGUGGCUUGA
rnacentral:rRNA from 1 species